rnacentral:tRNA from 1 species
CCCUGGUGGCUCAGAUGGUAAAGUGUCUGUCUGUAAUGCAGGAGAUCCGGGUUUAAUCCCUGGAUCAGGAA